rnacentral:sRNA from 1 species
AUAUAUUUGAAUAUUUUUGUUGGUCUAUGCCGGUCAACGACGGUUAACAUCGGAAUUUGACAAUUCGUAUACCGAAAAAAGAUGUUUGUGGUGUUGACCACAUGUCGUCAUAUAGUUGGUAUAUGUGGGCAUGCAAUACAUCUAAUUUAUGUAGUUGGUUGUACAUUUCUAAACUUGGCAUGUAUGGCCAUGUAUUUCAUUAUACUUGGUAUAGCUGAAUAUCUUUUUCCAUUCAAAAAUACCAAAAAUAUU